rnacentral:lncRNA from 1 species
UUGCUAUCAGUUCUAAGCCUUAGUCAUCUAUUCGAUCAAUGCAGCCUUACGACUGUUCUUUAAUCUAAUCCAUUAUUUGCCGCGAAGAGCUAAUCUUUCUACUCUACCAGUUUUAUGAAAUAUCAAGUUACCUGCUAAUUAAUCCGCGCUUAUUCACCAUCAGGAAAGACCGGAAAUCCAGUAAGAAGGGUCAGGUAAGAGGCAACUAACAUGCUAACAGCAGCCUAUUAUGAUUCACGUGGCAAAGAGCCUGUGCUAUCUUGCAGAGGAUUCAAAGUUUAU